AUUGAACGCUGGCGGCAUGCCUUACACAUGCAAGUCGAACGGCAGCACGGGAGCAAUCCUGGUGGCGAGUGGCGAACGGGUGAGUAAUAUAUCGGAACGUGCCCAGUCGUGGGGGAUAACGUAGCGAAAGCUACGCUAAUACCGCAUACGAUCUAUGGAUGAAAGCGGGGGAUCGCAAGACCUCGCGCGAUUGGAGCGGCCGAUAUCAGAUUAGGUAGUUGGUGAGGUAAAGGCUCACCAAGCCGACGAUCUGUAGCUGGUCUGAGAGGACGACCAGCCACACUGGGACUGAGACACGGCCCAGACUCCUACGGGAGGCAGCAGUGGGGGAAUUUUUGGACAAUGGGCGGCAAGCCUGAUCCAGCAAUGCCGCCGGUGCAGGAUG
rnacentral:rRNA from 1 species